rfam:Dictyostelium lacteum strain TK GLQOFTK02JL55Q, whole genome shotgun sequence.
AUACUUACCUGGUUUUGGGUGUUGGUGAUCAACAAGGCCAAUACUCCCUUAGGAUUUCAGACCCUUGCACAUCUGGUUUGGUCCUGGUGGUAACUUUCGGAAAUGGAAGUUUAAAACCUAAUUUAUGGUAGUGGAGGUUUCUGCGUUCGCGCAAAACCUCUU